rnacentral:lncRNA from 1 species
AGGUUUUGAUUCUGAUUGUUCGCUUGUCUCUGCAGCAAACCCAUUAUCAGGUUUCCUCUCCAACUCUCUUCUCUAGCUUCUUUUGAUAGUGAAAGAAAAUUAGUGUUGUUGAUGAAAAAUUUGGGUAUUAUUGAAUGUGUUCGUCGAAAUGUCCCAAAGAGAAUCUCUCUUGUUUUAUAUAAAACUAUUUUGCCCAAUUCUCUUGUGAUAUGUUACUCUUCCGUGUCUUUGCGUUUAAUCAUAUAUGUAGAUUGUGGAAAAUUUACAUUUUUUAAGAGUUGAAAGAAGACCCUUUUAGUGUAGAAGUUAAAGUAUAUGUAGAAUGUUAUGGUAUGUUACUGUGUUUGCUUGAUCUCUUUGCAUCAACUUCUCUUUGUAUAUGUAGAUGGAUUCCCAGUCAGUGAGAGUACUUGCAGGACUUGAAGAGCAACUAGAUAUGGACAGAGAGGAGAAUGAAGCUGAACUUCAAGGAGCCCACAGUGAAACUCAAGUGACUCAACCAACAAAAACGGUAUUUCAGUCUAACAAACGCUUAAAGGCUGAUGUUUGGAAGGAAUACAUACCGGUAGGUGUAGGGAUAGAUGGAAAGAACAGAGGGCGUUGCAUUUAUUGCUGUAAGGAGUUAGUAAUAGAAGUUAAGAAUGGAACAUCAUCUUUGAAACGGCAUUUAGAAAUCUGUCCAGUGAAGCCUGAAAGUGAUGGCAAUGCUGAAAGGAAGUAUGAUCACAAAGUAAAUCGCGAAAUGACUAGUGAGCUUAUUAUCUAUCAUGAUUUCCCUUUUCGGUAUGUGGAGUACGAGAAGGUUAGGGCAAGAAUAAAUAUCUGAACCCAAAGUGUGUGCCUAUAUGCCGACAAACCGCUGCUGCCGAUGUCUUCAGGAAAUAUGAGAUGGAGAAAGCAAAGCUCAAAAGACUUUUUGCAAAUCUCAAAAGCCGAGUGUGUUUUACGACAGAUCUUUGGUCAGCUCGCACGGUGAUGGGGUACAUUUGUUUGACUGCCAACUAUAUUGACAAUGGUUGGACCUUAAACAACAAGAUCUUGGCGUUUUGUGAAAUCAAGCCUCCUCACACGGGUGAUGAAAUAGCUAAAAAGGUGUUGGGUUGCUUGAAGGAGUGGGGCUUGGAAAAUAAGGUAUUCUCCUUCACCUUAGAUAACGCUACUAGUAAUACUAGUAUGCAAAAGAUUCUUACACAUCGUCUUCAGAUGGUUGCUGGAAAUAGAUUGCCAUGUAAUGGAAAGUUCUUACACGUGAGGUGUUGUGCCCAUAUCCUAAAUCUUAUAGUGAAGGAAGGAUUAGAAUUAGCUAAUAGUCUGUUGGAGAAUAUCCGCGAGAGCGUGAGGUUUGUGAAAGCCUCUCAAUCAAGGAAAGAUGCUUUUGCUGCUUGUGUUGAAAGUUCAGGGACUACGGGUAGCUCAGGAUUGUCUUUAGAUGUAUUUACUCGCUGGAAUUCAACCUAUGAUAUGCUCGCAAGGGCUCUUAAGUUCCGUAUGGCGUUUGCUAGUUAUAAAGUUUGUGAUAGGAGCUAUAACACGCUGCCUUCAGAGGAAGAAUGGGAACGUGGGCAGAAAAUUUGUGACUUCCUGAAGCCUUUCAGUACCAUCACAACAUACUUCUCAGGUGUGAAAUAUCCAACUGCGAAUAUAUACUUCAUUCAAGUUUGGAAUAUCGAAUUGCUAUUAAGGAAAUAUGCAGAUUGUGAUGAUGAGGAUUUGAGGUUAAUGGCUAGGAGGAUGCAAAUCAAAUUUGCAAAGUACUGGGAUGAUUAUAGCAUAGUUUUAGCGAUGGGAGCUAUGUUGGAUCCAAGGUUCAAGACUCAGAUACUCAAAAAAGCUUUUGAUAGGUUAGAUCCAACUACUUCCGAGAAAAAAGUUAAAGUUAUAGUGCAGAAUCUGAAGGAUCUGUACGAAGAGUAUACGAGCAAGCCUGUGACGGGUUCAUCUUCUAGUUCUAACUAUUCAUCAACACCAGAUGACCUUCUUAAUGAAUCACCCCUUGAUGAUGAUUUGAACGCUGUAAGAUUACUUAAUUUACUUAUUUUCUUGUCUUGAUGAGUAUAGUUGAAAUUGUCUGAUUAUAUUGAUGUUCUUGUCUGAUUACAAUAUAGGAUCUUUUUGAACUUGAAAGGAGUAUUCACCAUGGUUCAGAUAACACAAAGACGAGUUUGGAAUUGUAUUUGGAAGCCGAGGCUUGAGUUAAAAGCUUUUGCAGAUAUAGAAGUUUUGAGCUAUUGGAAAGAAAAUGGGCAUCACCAUGGUGACUUAGCUGUGCUAGCAAUGGAUCUUCUCAGUAUCCCAAUAACUACAGUUGCAUCAGAGUCCGCUUUCAGUAUCGGUGGUCGUGUAUUGACCCCAUACAGAAACCGCCUUUUUCCAGACAAUGUGCAAGCAUUGCUUUGCACUCGUAACUGGUUGCGUGGUUAUCCAGAACUUGAAGGUAACUUUACAGUGUGUGCAUCCAUGUGUGUGCUUCAUGCAUUCAUUGUUCGUUGUCUUUGAUGCCUUGACUUAGAUAUUAGCUACAGCGAUUAAAUAUUCCUCUCUGUCUCGUCAUUGGCUGUAAACGUAGACAGCAGUAAUAAGAUUAUGUCUUUCUUAUGGCUUUGGACAUUCAUGAUUAGUCAUUGCAGUUGUAAGAAUCUGAUUCUUUGAAGACUUCUAGUUUCUGGUGUUGUUGAAGCAUUAGUAAAGAGCAUAUUGAUGUGCCUUUGGUGACAAUUUGUUGUUCUUCACCACCAACUUUGGUGACUGAUGCUUUGGUGCUUUGUUUGUUUUGGUAUUCUAGGUGAUAUUGAAGAUAAUUUCGAUGAGGAAGCUACAAAUGUUGCAAGUUCUUCAGGAGUAUGAGAGAGAUUCAAGAUUCAAGAAGCUACAAAUGUUGCAAACUACUAUUUAUUUUAAUCUGAAUAAAAAUACUUUUGCUACUUCUUUACAAAUGU